UGCGCAGGCGGCUUAUUAAGUCAGUGGUGAAAUCUCUCGGCUCAACCGAGAAACUGCCAUUGAAACUGAUAAGCUUGAGUGUAGUUGUAGUAGGCGGAAUAUAGCAUGUAGCGGUGAAAUGCUUAGAUAUGCUAUAGAACACCGAUCGCGAAGGCAGCUUACUAAACUAUAACUGACGCUCAGGCACGAAAGCGUGGGGAGCAAACAGGAUUAGAUACCCUGGUAGUCC
rnacentral:rRNA from 1 species